AUUGAACGCUGGCGGCAGGCCUAACACAUGCAAGUCGAACGAGCGGCGGACGGGUGAGUAAUGUCUGGGAAACUGCCUGAUGGAGGGGGAUAACUACUGGAAACGGUAGCUAAUACCGCAUACCAUCAGAUGUGCCCAGAUGGGAUUAGCUAGUUGGUGGGGUAAUGGCUCACCAAGGCGACGAUCCCUAGCUGGUCUGAGAGGAGUACCAGCCACACGGGAACUGAGACACGGUCCAGACGCCUACGGGAGGCAGCAGUGGGGAAUAUUGCAGAAUGGGCGCAAGCCUGAUGCAGCCAUGCCGAGUGUGUGAAGAAGGCCUUCGGGUUGUAAAGAUCUUUCAGCGAGGAGGCGUUACCCGCAGAAGAAGCACCGGCUAACUCCGUGCCAGCAGCCGCGGUAAUUC
rnacentral:rRNA from 1 species